GAUGAACGCUGGCGGCGUGCCUAAUACAUGCAAGUCGAGCGAACAGACGAGGAGCUUGCUCCUCUGACGUUAGCGGCGGACGGGUGAGUAACACGUGGAUAACCUACCUAUAAGACUGGGAUAACUUCGGGAAACCGGCGCUAAUACCGGAUAAUAUAUUGAACCGCAUGGUUCAAUAGUGAAAGACGGUUUUGCUGGCACUUAUAGAUGGAUCCGCGCUGCAUUAGCUAGUUGGUAAGGUAACGGCUUACCAAGGCAACGAGGCGUAGCCGACCUGAGAGGGUGAUCGGCCACACUGGAACUGAGACACGGUCCAGACUCCUACGGGAGGCAGCAGUAGGGAAUCUUCCGCAAUGGGCGAAAGCCUGACGGAGCAACGCCGCGUGAGUGAUGAAGGUCUUGGGAGCGUAAAACUCUGUUAUUGGGGAAGAACAAAUGUGUAAGUAACUAUGCACGUCUUGACGGUACCUAAUCAGAAAGCCACGGCUAACUACGUG
rnacentral:rRNA from 1 species